GAUCCUGGCUCAGGAUGAACGCUGGCGGCGUGCUUAACACAUGCAGGUCGAGCGAAGCACUUUGCUUUGAUUUCUUCGGGAUGAAGAGCUUAGUGACUGAGCGGGCGGACGGGUGAGUAACGCGUGGGUAACCUGCCUCAUACAGGGGGAUAACAGUUAGAAAUGACUGCUAAUACCGCAUAAGGCCACAGCACCGCAUGGUGCAGGGGUAAAAACUCCGGUGGUAUGAGAUGGACCCG
rnacentral:rRNA from 1 species